rnacentral:rRNA from 1 species
GAUGAACGCUGGCGGCGUGCCUAAUACAUGCAAGUCGAGCGAACGGACGAGAAGCUUGCUUCUCUGAUGUUAGCGGCGGACGGGUGAGUAACACGUGGAUAGCCUACCUAUAAGACUGGGAUAACUUCGGGAAACCGGAGCUAAUACCGGAUAAUAUUUUGAACCGCAUGGUUCAAAAGUGAAAGACGGUCUUGCUGUCACUUAUAGAUGGAUCCGCGCUGCAUUAGCUAGUUGGUAAGGUAACGGCUUACCAAGGCAACGAUGCAUAGCCGACCUGAGAGGGUGAUCGGCCACACUGGAACUGAGACACGGUCCAGACUCCUACGGGAGGCAGCAGUAGGGAAUCUUCCGCAAAGGGCGAAAGCCUGACGGAGCAACGCCGCGUGAGUGAUGAAGGUCUUCGGAUCGUAAAACUCUGUUAUUAGGGAAGAACAUAUGUGUAAGUAACUGUGCACAUCUUGACGGCACCUAAUCAGAAAGCCACGGCUAACUACGUG